AUUGAACGCUGGCGGCAUGCCUUACACAUGCAAGUCGAACGGCAGCACGGGAGCAAUCCUGGUGGCGAGUGGCGAACGGGUGAGUAAUAUAUCGGAACGUGCCGGUCGUGGGGAUAACGUAGCGAAGCUACGCUAAUACCGCAUACGAUCUACGGAUGAAAGCGGGGGAUCGCAAGACCUCGCGCGAUUGGAGCGGCCGAUAUCAGAUUAGGUAGUUGGUGAGGUAAAGGCUCACCAAGCCGACGAUCUGUAGCUGGUCUGAGAGGACGACCAGCCACACUGGGACUGAGACACGGCCCAGACUCCUACGGGAGGCAGCAGUGGGGAAUUUUGGACAAUGGGCGGCAAGACCUGAUCCAGCAAUGCCGCGUGCAGGAUGAA
rnacentral:rRNA from 1 species